CCAUGGCAGAGUCUUGCUCUGUCGCCCAGGCUGGAAUGCAGUAGCACAAUCUCGGCUCACUGCAAGCUCUGCCUCCCGGGUUCACGCCAUUCUCCUGCCUCAGCCUCCCGAGUAGCUGGGACUUCAGGCACCUGCCACCACGCCUGGCUAAUUUUUUGUAUUUUUAAUAGAGACGGGGUUUCACCAUGUUGGGUGCUUAUAAUCCCAGCUACUUGGGAGGCAGAGGCAGGAGAAUUGCUUGAACCUGGGAAGCAAAGACUGCAGCAAGCCGAAUCUCUCCACUGCACUCCAGCCUGGGCAACAGAGUGAUACUCCAUUUCAAAAAAAAAGAUCACUUUUUUAUCAAAAUUUGGAAAACUACUCACAGAAAACAAACAAACAGAACCAAAACCAAUGUCCAAACCUGACAACUAUGAACAGGCUGAAGCAGAGUAGGGUGGCAGAUGUGGCAGAAGUGUGUGUGUAUCAGCGUGGGGGCUGGUGGCAGGGCAUUCUCCCUGGGCCCCUUUGCCACACCUGUCCUUACAGGUAACCCUGCCCCUCCCUAGACGGACCUGGGGCUGUGGCCCUGUCUGCCACCCAGGCAAGGACCCCUGCUGGUCACCGGCCUCUGCUCUCCCUGCCUCUCAGACCCUUGGCAGCCCCUGGGCCUGGCCCACCCCUUUCCACUGCAGAGCUCCCAGAACCUUCCAAAAUUACACUCCCAGAAAGCCUGGUUAAGGGAGAGAGCUGAAGUUCUCCCUCAUGAAUGACUAACAGCUACGCUUCCCUUCUGUCUUAUUUCACGCCACUUACCUUUCUACCCAGGCAAACUAUAAGCAACGCACGCAUGAAACACAGAUUCUCUGAGCAUCUCCAGAUCCGAGCUGUUCUUUGCAUGCUUCCUGCCACACACUGUGCAGUAAACAAUGACGGGCCUACAACAGCGCUUUCUUACAUCUCACUAUGACGUUUUCACAUCGCUUACAGAAUACAACCGUCAUUAGCGCAUUUCCAGUUUGCUCUAAUUUAUGCCAAACAUCUUUGUUUUAAGCAGCACUUCCCCAUACAACGCCUUCUAGCAACUUCGUAAGUGAGCACCCUCAAGUCCCGUGAGAAGUCUGGACUCACAGGGCCAGGGAAAAGCUUCCCCACCUCAACCCAGGUCUGUAACUCCACACCCUCCACACCACCCAACGCCUCUAUCUACAACUCACACACGCGCACACACACACACACAAAGCGCACACACACACAGCACACACACAAACACACGCACACACAAACGCACACACAUGCAUACAAACACAAACACAUACACAAAGACACACGCACACGUAUGCACACACAAACUGCAGAGGAAAGGCAGCACACCAAAGCACCCAGAAGACAAAUGUGGUUACAUCUGGAAGUCAAGCAUCAACUUUUAAAAACAUAAAAAGCUAUUCUGAAUAACUUUUAACUUCACUUCACCCCCAACUGUCUACAACUAAUGAAUUACAAAUAGCACCUUAUACAAAUG
rnacentral:lncRNA from 1 species